AGAGUUUGAUCAUGGCUCAGAACGAACGCUGGCGGCGUGCUUCAUACAUGCAAGUCGUACGAGAAAGUCUCGCUUCGGCGGGAUUAGUAAAGUGGCGGACGGGUGCGUAACACGUGGGUAAUCUGCCUUGAAGUUGGGGAUAAGCUACCGAAAGGGAGUCUAAUACCGAAUAACGUCUUGAGGGGACAUCCCCUGGGGACCAAAGGAAGCUGAUAUUUAUAAGCUAUCACUUCAAGAUGAGCCCGCGCUUCAUUAGCUAGUUGGUGAGAUAAAAGCUCACCAAGGCUACGAUGGAUAGCCGGCCUGAGAGGGUGUACGGCCACACUGGGACUGAGAUACGGCCCAGACUCCUACGGGAGGCAGCAGUAGGGAAUAUUGCGCAAUGGGCAAAAGCCUGACGCAGCAACGCCGCGUGGGUGAUGAAGUUCUUCGGAAUGUAAAACCCUGUCUAGAGGAAAGAAACUUCCCAAAUCAAAUAGCUUUGGGGACUGACGGUACCUCUGGAGGAAGCUCCGGCCAACUCCGUGCCAGCAGCCGCGGUAAUACGGGGGGAGCAAGCGUUGUUCGGAAUCACUGGGCGUAAAGGGUGUGUAGGCGGGUAAGCAAGUCGGGCGUGAAAACUCCAAGCUUAACUAGGAGCGUGCGUCCGAAACUACUUGUCUUGAGUACGGGAGAGGAAAGUGGAAUUCCUGGUGUAGCGGUGAAAUGCGUAGAUAUCAGGAGGAACACCGGUGGCGAAGGCGGCUUUCUAGCCCGAUACUGACGCUGAGACACGAAGGCUAGGGGAGCAAACAGGAUUAGAUACCCUAGUAGUCC
rnacentral:rRNA from 1 species